UGUUGAGUGCUCCUGUUCCCA
rnacentral:misc_RNA from 1 species